rnacentral:rRNA from 1 species
CAACUUUCAACAACGGAUCUUUUGGCUUUCGCAUCGAAGAAGAACGCCGAGAAAGUGAGAAAUAUAAUGAGAAUUGCAGAACUCAGAGAAUCAUAGAAUCUUUGAACGCAUCUUGCGCUCCUGCACAUUGCGAGGCGCACGCCUGUGAGAGUGUCGU